rnacentral:rRNA from 1 species
AUUGAACGCUGGCGGCAGGCCUAACACAUGCAAGUCGAGCGGCAGCGGGAAAGUAGCUUGCUACUUUUGCCGGCGAGCGGCGGACGGGUGAGUAAUGCCUGGGAAAUUGCCCAGUCGAGGGGGAUAACAGUUGGAAACGACUGCUAAUACCGCAUACGCCCUACGGGGGAAAGCAGGGGACCUUCGGGCCUUGCGCGAUUGGAUAUGCCCAGGUGGGAUUAGCUAGUUGGUGAGGUAAUGGCUCACCAAGGCGACGAUCCCUAGCUGGUCUGAGAGGAUGAUCAGCCACACUGGAACUGAGACACGGUCCAGACUCCUACGGGAGGCAGCAGUGGGGAAUAUUGCACAAUGGGGGAAACCCUGAUGCAGCCAUGCCGCGUGUGUGAAGAAGGCCUUCGGGUUGUAAAGCACUUUCAGCGAGGAGGAAAGGUUGUUGGCUAAUAUCCAGCAUUUUGACGUUACCUACAGAAGAAGCACCGGCUAACUCUGUGCCAGCAGCCGCGGUAACAC